GCGCCCAUAGCUUAACGGAUAAAGUAUCCCGCUUCGGACGGGAUGAUGGGGGUUCGAUUCCCUCUGGGCGCG
rfam:Microgenomates (Gottesmanbacteria) bacterium GW2011_GWA2_43_14 TV73_C0002, whole genome shotgun sequence.